AACGGAGUCCCUCCGUUCAGAAUUACUUGUCGCAGAAAUGGAUAUAUUUAGACGUAUUUUAGUUCUAGAUACAUUCAUUUCCGAGACAAAUAAUUUCGAACGGAGGGAGUACUAU
rnacentral:pre_miRNA from 1 species